UCGAACGCAGUAGCAAUACUGAGUGGCAGACGGGUGAGUAACAUGUGGGAAUCUGCCUUGUGGUUCAGGACAACAUUGGGAAACCGAUGCUAAUACUGGAUAAGCCCUUACGGGGAAAGUUUUAAUGCCAUAAGAUGAGCCCGCAUUUGAUUAGUUAGUUGGUGAGGUAAUGGCUCACCAAGACAAUGAUCAAUAGCUGAUCUGAGAGGAUGAUCAGCCACACUGGGACUGAGACACGGCCCAGACUCCUACGGGAGGCAGCAGUGGGGAAUCUUGCACAAUGGAGGAAACUCUGAUGCAGCGAUGCCGCGUGAGUGAAGAAGGCCUUUGGGUUGUAAAGCUCUUUUGUAGGGGAAGAUAAUGACUGUACCCUAAGAAUAAGGUCCGGCUAACUUCGUGCCAGCAGCCGCGGUAAUACGAAGGGACCUAGCGUAGUUCGGAAUUACUGGGCGUAAAGCGCGCGUAGGCCGUUGAGUUAGUUAAUUGUGAAAUCCCAAAGCUUAACUUUGGAACUGCAAUUAAAACUGCUCGACUAGAGUUUGAUAGAGGAAAGCGGAAUACAUAGUGUAGAGGUGAAAUUCGUAGAUAUUAUGUAGAACACCAGUUGCGAAGGCGGCUUUCUGGAUCAACACUGACGCUGAGGCGCGAAAGUAUGGGUAGCAAAGAGGAUUAGAUACCCUCGUAGUCCAUACCAUAAACGAUGAUUGCUAGAUGUUGGAAAUUUAUUUUCAGUAUCGCAGCUAACGCAUUAAGCAAUCCGCCUGGGGAGUACGACCGCAAGGUUAAAACUCAAAUGAAUUGACGGGGACCCGCACAAGCGGUGGAGCAUGUGGUUUAAUUCGAAGAUACGCGCAGAACCUUACCAACCCUUGACAUGUCUGUCGCGAGUUUAG
rnacentral:rRNA from 1 species